rnacentral:rRNA from 1 species
CACGUAGUUAGCCGGUGCUUCUUAUACAGGUACCGUCACUUGCGCUUCGUCCCUGUCGAAAGGAGUUUACAACCCGAAGGCCGUCAUCCCCCACGCGGCGUCGCUGCAUCAGGCUUCCGCCCAUUGUGCAAUAUUCCCCACUGCUGCCUCCCGUAGGAGUCUGGGCCGUAUCUCAGUCCCAAUGUGGCCGUACACCCUCUCAGGCCGGCUACCCGUCGACGCCUUGGUAGGCCAUUACCCCACAACAAGCUGAUAGGCCGCGAGCUCAUCUUGCACCGAAAAAACUUUCCAACCACCACACUAAAGACGGUUCCUAUCCGGUAUUAGACCCAGUUUCCCAAGCUUAUCCCAGAGUGCAAGGCAGAUCACCCACGUGUUACUCACCCGUUCGCCACUCGAGUACCAGUGCAAGCACUGGCCUUUCCGUCGACUUGCAUGCGUUAAGCACGCCGCCAGCGUUCGUCCUGAGCCAGGAUCAAACUACU